AACGAACGCUGGCGGCAGGCUUAACACAUGCAAGUCGAGCGCCCCUCCUUCAAGUGAGCUUGAAGGAAUUUUCCUUGGAAAGAGAUGAUCGAAAAGCUUCUCAAGAAGCUUUCUUGAUGGAGGGGAGCGGCAGACGGGUGAGUAACGCGUGGGAAUCUACCCAUCCCUACGGAACAACUCCGGGAAACUGGAGCUAAUACCGUAUACGCCCUAACGGGGAAAGAUUUAUCGGGGAUGGAUGAGCCCGCGUUGGAUUAGCUAGUUGGUGGGGUAAUGGCCUACCAAGGCGACGAUCCAUAGCUGGUCUGAGAGGAUGAUCAGCCACAUUGGGACUGAGACACGGCCCAAACUCCUACGGGAGGCAGCAGUGGGGAAUAUUGGACAAUGGGCGAAAGCCUGAUCCAGCCAUGCCGCGUGAGUGAUGAAGGCCCUAGGGUUGUAAAGCUCUUUCAACGGUGAAGAUAAUGACGGUAACCGUAGAAGAAGCCCCGGCUAACUUCGUGCCAGCAGCCGCAGUAAAAC
rnacentral:rRNA from 1 species